rnacentral:tRNA from 1 species
GGAGGAGUGGCCGAGUGGUCGAAGGCGCACGAUUGGAAAUCGUGUAGGGUGUUAAAGCCCUCACGGGUUCGAAUCCCGUCUCCUCCGCCA